CCCGUACUUGGUGUUACUGCGAAGGGGGGACGGAGAAGGCUAUGUUGGCCGGGCGACGGUUGUCCCGGUUUAAGCGUGUAGGUGUGUGUUCCAGGUAAAUCCGGUUCACUUUAACACUGAGGCGUGACGACGAGGCACUACGGUGCUGAAGCAACAAAUGCCCUGCUUCCAGGAAAAGCCUCUAAGCAUCAGGUAACAUCAAAUCGUACCCCAAACCGACACAGGUGGUCAGGUAGAGAAUACCAAGGCGCUUGA
rnacentral:rRNA from 15 species